AUAAAUGUAAGGCCCAUUGGUUGGCUUAAGGGUAGUGUGUUCUAUCUGCAAAAGGCGACCUCCCUGAUUAGAUCAUCACAAGUGAUGGGGGAAGGUGGGAAGACUCCAAGAAAAAAAGUAGGUGGUACAGACUGGACAUAAUUGUUAAGAGGAAGAAAGAAGAGAAGGAAUAGAAUCAAACCAGAGAGAAUAAAGACUUGCUGGCAGAGGCUAUGAGGGUCUGCUCAAUGCUCAUGUCAGUCAUUCUACAGUAGCUUCAGCUGCCUCAAACUUGCAAGUGACAGUCUGUAAAACAGCACCAUUCAAACCCACCAGAGAAAUGACGCGCAUUAAGGAUGCAAACUGGAAUGACAACAUGAAAUUACAGUUAACAUUUAGUGACUAUAUAUGCAUAUUACAAUAACUCAGCAUUUCAAAAGUAGGUAUUUAUCUGAUGUUUCUGUCAUGUUAAUAAACAAUUUUGUCCAAAGGAUUCCCAUUUACCUUUUCACCAAACAGUCAAUGCAAUGUGUCUUAACUUUGUAUGAUGCA
rnacentral:lncRNA from 1 species